GUGGGGAAUAUUGCACAAUGGGGGAAACCCUGUAUGCAGCCAUGCCGCGUGUGUGAAGAAGGCCUUCGGGUUGUAAAGCACUUUCAGCGAGGAGGAAAGGUUGGCAGCUAAUAUCUGCCAGCUGUGACGUUACUCGCAGAAGAAGCACCGGCUAACUCCGUGCCAGCAGCCGCGGUAAUACGGAGGGUGCAAGCGUUAAUCGGAAUUACUGGGCGUAAAGCGCACGCAGGCGGUUGGAUAAGUUAGAUGUGAAAGCCCCGGGCUCAACCUGGGAAUUGCAUUUAAAACUGUCCAGCUAGAGUCUUGUAGAGGGGGGUAGAAUUCCAGGUGUAGCGGUGAAAUGCGUAGAGAUCUGGAGGAAUACCGGUGGCGAAGGCGGCCCCCUGGACAAAGACUGACGCUCAGGUGCGAAAGCGUGGGGAGC
rnacentral:rRNA from 1 species